rnacentral:rRNA from 2 species
UGACCUCAAAUCAGGUAUUCCCGCUGAACUA